AAAGGGCUUGUAUGAAACAUGAGAUGGCAAAGACAUGGAAGAAAAAUAAAGCUAAUGCCAGGAAUUCCGCUUUGCUUAA
rfam:Tupaia belangeri cont1.079828, whole genome shotgun sequence.